rnacentral:lncRNA from 1 species
AGGUUCACAAAUAAAGUUUUGGUCGCUCUUCUCUGGAGAUUUGGAGCCCAAGAUAACACGGAUGUGAAGAAGUUUUAAGAGGUUAGAACUUGGAACUGAUUUGUAAAUUUUUAUCUCAAUUUCUAUUUAAUAAAAAUAGAGAAAAUAAGAAAGGGAUAAAUAGGACAAUGAAUUGAUUAAUGCACAAAGAACCACGAGAAGAUGGUGGGAGCGUGAUCAACAUCUGGUAAUUAUUUCGGAUAUUGACGUCAUAAGCGGUCUUACUGUAGUCCAGAGAAUAACAAACAGCAAUGAAAUGAUGAGGCGGGAUGAGGUUAUGUUGUAUUAUCUGUAACGGAAUAAAUAUAAAUGUAUAGGAACCAUCACUAGUUGACCUCACUCAUUGUUUCUAAUCCCACAAUAAAUUGAAGCUGCAGCUGUACGAGCAAUUGAUACAAAUUUACUGAUGUACAGUCCGACUCAUCAUCUUCAUUCAGAAUAUUACUCAAAUGUAUUACUUUCACAACACAACUGAUUAGAAUCGCGGUUAAUUAUCGAUACAAUUGAAUAAGCAGUGAAUAAUCAUAACCGGAAGGAAGUUGUGCGAUAAUUGAAAGUAGUUUCCUUAUCAAUAUAUAUAUUUCAAAAUAUAAAAUAUAUAUAUAUCUACGAUAAUAUGAGGUGAUAUGUGUAUUGUAUUGUACAGAUAAUGUUGUAUAAGUAAGCAACAGAACUCACUACUUAUUUGUGCGGACAAUGGAAUCGGAGAAGAUAAUAUAUGUACAGAUAUUUAAAUUACUAAAAAAGUAAAAAAAAGUUGAUGCAGACAAUUCGUUAGCAAGUAUCACACGUUGAAGCAUUCUUGCGUCAAGCCAUGUCAAGGGAGAGUGUCGUGCAACAAUGCACGUGAAUAUGCAGCUCUUUGAGUAUUCUGUGGUCAUAAGUACACAUCAUCAUGUCGCAUCGUCUUCACUCUCAAGACGUGCGAUGUCUCGAUCGCCAUUGUAAAUUACAAGGAUCUUAUAUCAUAUCAAAUAUCAAGUUACUCAAUAUAAAUAAGAUAACAUAAAAAAUCCAUCACCUGUUUUGAUAUUGAUACAAUAUUUUGGAGGUUUUUGAGGUUGAAUCUAGAUGGCGCCAUUUGAGCGGCUCUCGCAAGCGGUGUCAGCUCUGGCCACUGUUAUAUAUAACGCAAACUGAACCGGGUUGAGAUUCGGAUGGUUUGGAGCCUUAGAGGACACCUGUAUAAAAUACAGAGUAAAAAAGGCGACGUAGGAGGGAGAAG